rnacentral:rRNA from 1 species
AUUGAACGCUGGCGGCAUGCUUUACACAUGCAAGUCGAACGGUAACAGGCCUUCGGGUGCUGACGAGUGGCGAACGGGUGAGUAAUGCAUCGGAACAUACCCAGUCGUGGGGGAUAACGUAGCGAAAGUUACGCUAAUACCGCAUACGUCCUGAGGGAGAAAGCGGGGGAUCGCAAGACCUCGCGCGAUUGGAGUGGCCGAUGUCAGAUUAGCUAGUUGGUGGGGUAAAGGCCCACCAAGGCGACGAUCUGUAGCGGGUCUGAGAGGAUGAUCCGCCACACUGGGACUGAGACACGGCCCAGACUCCUACGGGAGGCAGCAGUGGGGAAUUUUGGACAAUGGGGGAAACCCUGAUCCAGCCAUGCCGCGUGCGGGAAGAAGGCCUCGGUUGUAACG